rnacentral:hammerhead_ribozyme from 1 species
AGCUGACGAGUUCCAAAUAGGACGAAAUGCGCAUCUU